rnacentral:rRNA from 1 species
GACGAACGCUGGCGGCAUGCCUAAUACAUGCAAGUCGAGCGAGCGGAUGAAGUGCUUGCACUUCUGACGUUAGCGGCGAACGGGUGAGUAACACGUAAGGAAUCUACCUAUAAGCGGGGGAUAACAUUCGGAAACGGGUGCUAAUACCGCAUAAGAUCUUCUUCCGCAUGGAAGAAGAUCGAAAGACGGCUCUGCUGUCACUUAUAGAUGACCUUGCGGUGCAUUAGUUAGUUGGUGGGGUAACGGCCUACCAAGACGAGGAUGCAUAGCCGACCUGAGAGGGUGAUCGGCCACAUUGGGACUGAGACACGGCCCAAACUCCUACGGGAGGCAGCAGUAGGGAAUCUUCCGCAAUGGGCGAAAGCCUGACGGAGCAAUGCCGCGUGAGUGAAGAAGGCCUUCGGGUCGUAAAACUCUGUUAUAAGAGAAGAACAAAUUGUAGAGUAACUGCUACAGUCUUGACGGUAUCUUAUCAGAAAGCCACGGCUAACUACGUGCCAGCCGCCGCAGUAA